rnacentral:rRNA from 1 species
UGACCUCGGAUCAUGUAGG